rfam:Brachypodium distachyon strain Bd21 chromosome 5, whole genome shotgun sequence.
AUUCUAUUUUCUCCGUCCAACAAAAGAUGUCUUAACUUUGAUCAAAUUUGAAUGCAUCUAUACACUAAGUCAUGUCUACAUGCAUCCAAAUUUUGAUAAACUUGAGACAUCUUUUGUUGGACAGAGGAAUACUUU